CUGGAAUAUUGCUAAAAGCGGCGUAAAACCAAACUCAGUCAGUCAUUCCUUUCCCAUAGCCUUGAACGCUGUCGUGGAUUCUUUGAAAUUGGCACCCCUGAUGAUAUCUAUUCCUCUUCUUGUUUUUUCCAAGUGUCUUUGGAUGCCAUGUCGAUAAGACAUUAAAGUUACUUUCUU